rnacentral:rRNA from 1 species
GACGAACCGUGCGAACGUUGUUCGGAAUCACUGGGCUUAAAGGGCGCGUAGGCGGGUUACCAAGUCAGGGUGAAAUCUUCGGCUUAACCGGAAAACGGCCUCUGAUACUGGUAGUCUUGAGGAGGUAGGGCAGGUGGAACUUCCGGUGGAGCGGUGAAAUGUGUUGAUAUCGGAAGGAACGCCGGUGGCGAAAGCGACCUGCUGGAUCUCUUCGACGCUGAGGCGCGAAA